CACGUGUAGUGUAGGCAUUAUAUUACAUGAAACCACUGAGAGUGAAGUUAGCAGUUCCCGAGGUCUGUAUCUCUACUGUGCUAUUAUGGGAAGAAGCAAACUUUCGAGUAAGGGGUCAACUCAAGCAAACCCACCAAAAAAAGGUCCUGGGAGGAAGGCAAAGAAGCAACCAGCGCCAAAGUUACCUAAACAGUUAGAUUCAGAUGGGAGUAAUGUGCAGAAGCCCAGGAAAAGAAAGUUAAAACCUCAGAGUGAACUUGUACCUGGAAAGAGGAAG